GUGAAGGGCAUCAAGGGACGACUGAACAGA
rnacentral:piRNA from 1 species